UGGGGAAUGGUGUAAUCGGCAGCACUACUGCCUCUGGAGCAGUCAGUCCUGGUUCGAGUCCAGGUUCCCCAG
rnacentral:tRNA from 2 species